rnacentral:rRNA from 1 species
UAACACGUGGGUAACCUGCCCUUAAGCCUGGGAUACCAUUUGGAAACAGAUGCUAAUACCGGAUAAAAGCUACUUUCGCAUGAAAGAAGUUUAAAAGGCGGCGUAAGCUGUCGCUAAAGGAUGGACCUGCGAUGCAUUAGCUAGUUGGUAAGGUAACGGCUUACCAAGGCGAUGAUGCAUAGCCGAGUUGAGAGACUGAUCGGCCACAUUGGGACUGAGACACGGCCCAAACUCCUACGGGAGGCAGCAGCA